GGGCGCUUAGCUCAGUUGCGUAGAGCGCCGCCCUUACAAGGCGGAGGCCGGGGGUUCGAGUCCCUCAGCGCCCA
rnacentral:tRNA from 1 species